UCAGACGAUGCGUCAUGCAUAUCAAUAAGCGGAGGAAAAGAAACUAACAAGGAUUCCCUCAGUAACGGCGAGUGAAGCGGGAAGAGCUCAAAUUUGAAAUCUUGAAAGGUCACCUUUCACGAAUUGUAGUUUAAAGAAGUGUUUUCUGUUACGAUCGUAAUAUAAGUUCUUUGGAAUAGGACAUCACAGAGGGUGAGAAUCCCGUCUAUGAUUGCGAUUUGUAGCUUUGUGAUACACUUUCAAAGAGUCGGGUUGUUUGGGAAUGCAGCCCAAAACGGGAGGUAAAUUUCUUCUAAGGCUAAAUAUUGGCGAGAGACCGAUAGCGAACAAGUACCGUGAGGGAAAGAUGAAAAGAACUUUGAAAAGAGAGUUAAAUAGUACGUGAAAUUGUCAAAAGGGAAGCGUUUAACACCAGUGUUGUUUUCUGAAAAUCAACCUCUGUUAGCUUUAUGCAUGUUUGUUUAGACCUAAUCAGCUAUCUUUCAUGUUCUAUUGUUUGCAGUGGUGCACUUUUCAGUUUACAGGUCAACAUCAGUUUUUUUUACCGUAAAAAAGUUAAAGAAAGGCUAGCUCAUGGCUCCGGUCGUGAGUGUUAUAGUCUUUUUCCUAUGCGGUAGGAGAGACUGAGGUCUGCAGUGUAGGCUAUUUGGCUAGAUACUCAGGUGCUAUGUGAUACCAUUUCAUAAACAACUUGUUGAUUAUGUUUUGUCUAUUGCAUACUCGCUUGUACUAUCAUACCUACGCUUAGGAUGUUGACUGAUAUGUAGUCGU
rnacentral:rRNA from 1 species